rnacentral:tRNA from 1 species
GAGGAUGUAGCUCAAUGGUAGAGUGCUUGCCUAGCAUGUAUGAGGUCCUGGGUUCGAUCCCCAGUGCUGCA